AAAAUAAAAGAAAUAUUUUAAAAAUCCUCUCUUGCAACCCAGAACUCAUUAUCCAGCAUGAGUUUUUGAUACAUAAGAAAGAAUAUG
rnacentral:snoRNA from 1 species